UUGGGUGGGAGGGGUAAUCCGUUUGAUCCAACUUCAAAUCCCACCACUGACUCCUUUGAACAAGGGCUGUCAAAUGAAGCCCUCUCCCAGCAAGCUGUGUGAAAUUGGAGACUCCACUUACCUUCUGCCUCUUAAAAUUAGGCAAGCCCUCCACGCAGCAAGAGAGUAAGUGGCAAGCGUGCAGACAGCUCUUUCUGAGCUGGAUGAUUUAGUGAAGCAGCUGUGGGGGAUACAGGAGGGGGGAUUUAAAAGAAGGACCCAGUGGACUGAGGAGGACUAUUCACCCCCUAUUUGUGAUGCUGGUUAUUACUUUCUUGCCUAUGGUGUUAAUGGGACUGAGAACCUCAGCCCGUUUUGUGGUCAUAAACCAGAAACUUGGAGAAAGUACCCAGUAUGUUUGCAGGUGGCACUCCUUGUAAAAGACACUUGGUAGCCCAUAGUCUGAAAGGCAGGACAAAGCAAAUCAUGUAGGAUGAAAUUAGAGCCUACUCUUCCCUCCUAGUCCUCUGAAAGUUUGCAGAGAAAUGGCAACAUAUGUCAGACAAGUAUAAAUCAGAGGAGAAAAAAAUAAGACCAUGGAUGAAAACUGUGACUCUGAAGCAGAGUUUAUUUGGCAUCAACAUUAGUGUUUACUGGGUGACCGUGUGGUUGCAUGAGUAAGACCUUUAUUUAGUAUUAGGUAAAUUUGUGUUUGAGUUUCAGCUUCACCAGUCUCUUCAUAAGACCUUAGACAAAUUCACACCUAUAAUCCUAUUACCUUGGGAGGCCAAGGCAGGAGGGUUGCUUGAGCUCAGGAGGUUGAGGCCAGCUUGUGCAACAUAGCAAGAUCCCAUCUCUACAAUAAAAGUUUACAACUUAGCCAGGCAUGGUGGCACAUGCCUGUAGUCCCAGUUACUAAGGAGGCUGAGGUGGGAAGAUCUCUUGAGCCUGGAAUAUCAAGGCUGCAGUGAGUUGUGAUUGUGCCACUACACUCUAACCUAGAUGACAGAGCAAGACUAGGUCUCAAAAACAAAAACAAAAAAGAAAUAAAAGAACUGAAGGGGAGAGAAGGGCAGUCACACAUGGGUCUAAAAAAAAAUUGUAGGAGAACACAGAAAGUGAAGGAAAAGCAAUAUUGAAAUAGAAAUCAAAUAAUAAUUUUUCCAGAACUUAAGAAUGACUUCAAUUCUCACAUUAAAAGAGCAUUUCUAGCACUGAAAAGAGCAACAAAAUUCUCCUACAUAUACUACAGGGAAGUAACAAAAUAUGAAAAGCAAAGAGAAAGCAUCCAUAUCACCUAGAGGAAGAAGAUUACUCACAAAAGAAUGACCAUUAUACAGAAAAGUCUCUCCAUUAGUUAAUAAUAGAUGCCAGAAAACAGUGGAAUGAUUUCUGCAAAGAGCUAAGGAAAAAUACUUGUCCAUCUCGAUUUCUACACUCAAUUAAAUUCUCAUGAAAAAAAUAGGUUGCCAUGGACCAGCAACCUCUUUUUCCAGGACCCCUCUCCAUAGCAGAGAACUAUUUUCUUUCUUUUGCUGAUUAAAUUUCCACUCUUAACCUCA